rnacentral:rRNA from 1 species
UACGUAGGGUGCGAGCGUUGUCCAGAUUUAUUGGGCGUAAAGAGCUCGUAGGCGGUUUGUCGCGUCGGCCGUGAAAUCUCCACGCUUAACGUGGAGCGUGCGGUCGAUACGGGCAGACUUGAGUUCGGUAGGGGAGACUGGAAUUCCUGGUGUAGCGGUGAAAUGCGCAGAUAUCAGGAGGAACACCGGUGGCGAAGGCGGGUCUCUGGGCCAAAACUGACGCUGAGGAGCGAAAGCGUGGGGAGCGAACAGG